UACGGAGGGUGCAAGCGUUAUCCGGAAUCACUGGGUUUAAAGGGUGCGUAGGCGGUUUGAUAAGUCAGUGGUGAAAGCUCAUCGCUCAACGAAUGAAAUUGCCAUUGAUACUGUCAGACUUGAAUUAGGAUAAGGUAAGCGGAAUGUGGCAUGGUAGCGGAUGAAAUGCAUAGAUAUGCCAAUAGAACACCAAAUUGCGAAGGCAGCUUACUGGGCCUAUUGAUCGCUGAGGCACGAAAGCGUGGGGGAUCAAACAGG
rnacentral:rRNA from 1 species